UCGAGACCGAAAUAUAUCGAGCGAUUCGGAGAACCUGUGAAUGAGCGAUGACACUUGCCGUCGCGUAACAGCCAUCCCGGUCGUUGGCCUCACCGGGGCCACGAUGAGGGGCGGAUAAAACUAAAACCGGCGCAGCUACGCGCCAAGGGAAUAAAAAAGACACGAGCUCGCAUUGGGUUCGGUGGCGUGGAGUGCUGUGGCACACCACACGGAUCAAAACGACUCUCGGCAAUGGAUAUCUCGGCUCUCGCAUCGAUGAAGAGCGCAGCGAAAUGCGAUACGUGGUGCGAAUUGCAGAAUCCCGCGAACCAUCGAGAAUUUGAACGCAAGUUGCGCCCGAGGCCAGCCGGCCAAGGGCACGUCCGCUUGGGCGUCAAGCGUUGCGUCGCUCCGUGCCAGCUCCAUCCCACCUGACAGGUGUGCAUGCGGGAGGGCCGGAUGUGUAGAGUGGCUCGUCGUGCCCGCGGGUGUGGCGGGUUGAAGAGAGGGUGAUCGUCUCGUUGGCCACGAACAACAAGGGGUGGAUGAAAAUUGUGCCUGUGUUGUAUCGUGCUGGCAUGAGAAGAGAUCAUACCCUAUGGAUGAUCCCAGCCCAAGUGUCUAUCCACGGAUGGCGGCUUGGAAU
rnacentral:rRNA from 1 species